UAUAACGAUUUAUUAUUAUUCCAACCCUUCUCUCUAUAACAGGAGUGUGUAUAUAAGACAUAUAGAUCGAUCGACAAGGAAAGCCCGCAAAAGUGGAUAUUCGCAAAGCAGUCCCCAGUUGUCUGAAGGAGAGGCCCUCAGAGACGCCAAAGAUCUACACAAGUGGAUGCACAAAAGAGAUGGAGAAAUGAAGAAAAAUAACAAGCGUGCACGGGGAGGGGCCCUCCCCAGCGACAGCUUGCUACGUUGCUUAUUUCGAUAAUGAUCCUUCCGCAGGUUCACCUACGGAAA
rnacentral:misc_RNA from 1 species